rnacentral:rRNA from 1 species
CCCUUAGAUGUUCGGGGCCGCACGCGCGCUACACUGAAGGACUCAGCGUGUCUCUCCCCCUAUCCCGAAAGGGAUGGGCAACCCGUUGAACCUCCUUCGUGCUAGGGAUUUGGGUUUGCAAUUAUCCCCCAUGAACGAGGAAUUCCCAGUAAGCGCGAGUCAUCAGCUCGCGUUGAUUACGUCCCUGCCCUUUGUACACACCGCCCGUCGCUACUACCGAUUGGAUGGUUUAGUGAGACCCUCGGAUCGGUCCCGACUCGGGGUGGGCUUCUGCCCCGGUCGUGGUUUCGCCGAGAAGACGGUCAAACUUGACUAUCUAGAGGAAGUAAAAGUCGUAACA